rnacentral:lncRNA from 1 species
CUUGGCAGAACAUCCCGCCAGCAGGACAUGUGACUACCACAAGAUCAGCAUUCUCAUUAUCGUAUUAUAAUGUAUGUAGAGGUCCUCUUUUAAUUAAAAAUCAGCCUGGAAAGGUACAUCACCAUUAAUAAAAGAUCUACUCACGUCAUAUUCCACAUUCCAUUCA